rnacentral:rRNA from 1 species
GACAGAGGAGCCAAGCGUUGUCCGGACUGACUGGGCGUAAAGCGCCCGCAGGCGGCCGUGCACGUGGGGUGUGAAAGCUCGCGGCUUAACUGCGAGAGGCCAUCCCAUACGGCGCGGCUCGAGCCGUCCAGAGGCCGGUGGAAUUGCCGGUGUAGUGGUGAAAUGCGCAGAUAUCGAGAGGAACACCUGCGGCGAAGGCGGGUUGCUGGGCUGACACUGACGCUGAGGCGCGAAAGCUAGGGGAGCGAACGGG